CGUGUAGGUGGCAAGGCAAGUCGGGUGUGAAAGCCCUGGGCUCAACCCAGGAAGUGCACUCGAUACUGCCUCGCUAGAGUCCCGGAGAGGUUGGUGGAACUCUCGGUGUAGAGGUGAAAUUCGUAGAUAUCGAGAAGAACACCGGUGGCGAAGGCGGCCAACUGGACGGUGACUGACACUGAGACGCGAAAGCGUGGGGAGCAAACAGGAUUAGAUACCCUGGUAGUCCACGCCGUAAACGAUGGGUGCUAGGUGUCACGGGUAUUGACCCCUGUGGCGCCGUAGCUAACGCAUUAAGCACCCCGCCUGGGAAGUACGGCCGCAAGGCUAAA
rnacentral:rRNA from 1 species